rnacentral:rRNA from 1 species
AUACGUAGGGGGCGAGCGUUGCCCGGAAUUACUGGGCGUAAAGGGAACGUAGGUGGCUCUUAAAGUCAGGUGUGAAAAUAACGAAGCUUAACAGGUUAAUGCGCUUGAAACUAAAGGGCUUGAGGGCAAUAGAGGGAGAUGGAAUUACCUGUGUAGGGGUGAAAUCCGCAGAUAUAGGUAAGAAGGCCGGUGGGGAAGCCGAUCUCCUGGGUUGACUCUGACACUGAGGUUCGAAAGCUAGGGGAGCAAACCGGAUUAGAUACCCGGGUAGUCCUAGCCGUAAACGAUGGGUACUAGGUGUAGGAGGUAUCGACCCCUUCUGUGCCGUAGUUAACGCAAUAAGUACCCCGCCUGGGGAGUACGACCGCAAGGUUGAA